rnacentral:rRNA from 1 species
AACGAACGCUGGCGGCAGGCUUAACACAUGCAAGUCGAGCGGAGAGAGGUAGCUUGCUACUGAUCUUAGCGGCGGACGGGUGAGUAAUGCUUAGGAAUCUGCCUAUUAGUGGGGGACAACAUUUCGAAAGGAAUGCUAAUACCGCAUACGUCCUACGGGAGAAAGCAGGGGAUCUUCGGACCUUGCGCUAAUAGAUGAGCCUAAGUCGGAUUAGCUAGUUGGUGGGGUAAAGGCCUACCAAGGCGACGAUCUGUAGCGGGUCUGAGAGGAUGAUCCGCCACACUGGGACUGAGACACGGCCCAGACUCCUACGGGAGGCAGCAGUGGGGAAUAUUGGACAAUGGGCGGAAGCCUGAUCCAGCCAUGCCGCGUGUGUGAAGAAGGCCUUAUGGUUGUAAAGCACUUUAAGCGAGGAGGAGGCUACUUUAGUUAAUACCUAGAGAUAGUGGACGUUACUCGCAGAAUAAGCACCGGCUAACUCUGUGCCAGCAGCCGCAGUAAGAC